AGUAGGAUGAGACUAGAUAAUUAUAUUAAACUUGAGUAGUUGUAAUAUGAUUACUUUGUUCAUAUAUGUUAUGAAUGAAGUGUUGAUAUAAUUUAAAGUCGUCUUAAUUAGUUUAAGAUGAGACUCUAAAGAGUUGAAUAUGAAAGUUUUUCUGAGAAAUUUCAUAUCGAGCCUGUAUAGUAGCCGAACCUAAGUACUCAGGUUAGAGAGAUGACUUGAGCUGUGAUGGUUAAAUACCUUGGUGGUACCUAGACCAAGGUUCGUAUGGCGUUUUUUUUAGAGCGUGACAUGACCCAUUGAGUAGG
rnacentral:lncRNA from 1 species